UGGGGAAUAUUGGACAAUGGGGGCAACCCUGAUCCAGCCAUGCCGCGUGCGUGAAGAAGGCCUUAGGGUUGUAAAGCGCUUUCACUGGUGAAGAUGAUGACGGUAGCCAGAGAAGAAGCCCCGGCUAACUCCGUGCCAGCAGCCGCGGUAAUACGGAGGGGGCAAGCGUUGUUCGGAAUUACUGGGCGUAAAGGGCGCGUAGGCGGGAUGUCAAGUUAGGGGUGAAAGGCCUGGGCUCAACCUAGGAACU
rnacentral:rRNA from 1 species